UGCAUAGCUGACAUACAAUCCUCUCGUC
rnacentral:piRNA from 1 species